UGCAGAACCGGAAGUACCUUCUGAGCACCGCCAGGAGCUUUUAAGGCUGUGCGUUUUUGGAAAAAUCCCUGAAACUAUCCGGCGCAGCAACCAGGGGAAGAAGCCUGAAGAAGAAUGGCCAGCUCCAGUUCUCAACACAUGGCCUGUGGUUCAGUGACAUUUAGGGAUGUGGCUGUUGACUUCUCUCAGGAGGAGUGGGCCUGCCUGGAUGCUACUCAGAAGGUCCUAUACAGGGACGCGAUGUUGGAGACCUACAGCCACCUCGUCACAGUGGUGGGAAGUUGCCUUUCUAAGCCACAUCUGAUCACCUUACUAGAGCAGGAGAAAGAGCCCUGGAUGGCUGUGAAGGAAGAAACAGACAGGCCGAGCCCAGAGUUGGAGACAGGUUAUGAUGCUGAAAAUAUAUCUCCAGAAAAUCCUAUUAAUAAUGGAAAGUUUCUCAAACAGAGCAUAAAGCAAUUAAGUAGAACUUUUGACUUCAAGGACUCUAGUUCUAGUAAUGGCCCCAACUAUAGUGCAUUCCAUGGACUAAAGGAUUGUCAAGGAGAUGCUGAUCAACAGAUUACUAACAAGGAAGAAAUGCCUCCUUAUACCUGCCAGACUCUUGCUCACAAUAUAGAAAGAGCAUAUGAAUGUAAGGAGUGUGGGAAGUGCUUGGGUUGUAGGUCAACUCUCACUCAGCAUCAGACUAUUCAUACUGGAGAGAAACCCUAUGAAUGUAAGGAGUGUGGGAAGGCCUUCAGACUCCCCCAACAGCUUACAAGACAUCAGAAGUUUCACAGUGGUGAGAAACCUUUCAAGUGCAAUGAAUGUGGAAAGGCGUUUCAUCUUCCUGACCUGCUCAAGUACCAUAAAACCAUCCAUACAGGUACAAAACCAUUUGAAUGCAGGGAGUGUGGGAAGGCCUUCAACCGGGUCUCCAACCUUGUUGCACAUAGGAUUAUUCAUGCUGAUGUGAAACCAUAUGAAUGUAAUGAGUGUGGGAAAGCCUUUAAACGUCGUUCAAACCUUGUGCAACAUCAGAAAAUUCAUUCUGAUGAGAGACCUUUUCAGUGUAAGGACUGUGGGAAAGGCUUCAUUGUUCUGGCCCAGCUCACUAGGCACCAGAACAUUCACACUGGAGAGAAAUUGUUUGAAUGUCAUGAAUGUGGUAAGGCCUUCAGACUUCCCCAACAGCUUACAAGACAUCAGAAGUCUCACAGUGGUGAGAAACCUUUCAAGUGCAAUGAAUGUGGAAAGGCGUUUCAUCUUCCUGACCUGCUCAAGUACCAUAAAACCAUCCAUACAGGUACAAAACCAUUUGAAUGCAGGGAGUGUGGGAAGUCCUUCAACCGGGUCUCCAACCUUGUUGAACAUAGGAUUAUUCAUGCUGAUGUAAAACCAUAUGCCUGUAAUCAGUGUGGGAAAGCCUUUAAACGUCAAAAAAGCCUCAUGCAACAUCAGAAAAUUCAUUCUGGUGAAAGACCUUUUCAGUGCAAGGACUGUGGAAAGGCCUUCAUUGUUCUGAGUCAUCUCACUAGGCACCAAACUAUUCAUACUGGAGAGAAGUCAUUUGAAUGUAACGAAUGUGGCAAGAAAUUCAGAACUGCCACACACCUUGUUAUGCACCAAACUAUUCAUACAGGUGAAAAACCCUUCGAAUGUAAUGUAUGUGGGAAGGCCUUUCGGCUUCAGGUGUACCUUUCUGAGCAUCAGAAAACUCACAUUGAAGGAAAACCCUUCAAGUGUAAGCUCUGUGGGUCAGCCUUCAGACGUAAGUACCAACUUAAUGAACAUUACACAAUUCAUACUGAUGAAAAACCCUAUCAGUGCAAGGAAUGUGGGAAAUGCUUUCGUCAAAGGUCCAAUUUUACUGAACAUCAGAGUAUUCACACUGGAAACAAACCCUUUGAGUGUAAAGAAUGUGGGAAGUCCUUUAGACUUAACACACUUCUCAUUCGUCAUCAGAAAUCUCAUAGUGGUGAGAGACCUUAUGAGUGUAAAGAAUGUGGAAAGGCUUUUCAUCUUCCCAGUGAACUUAAUAACCAUCAAAUUGUUCAUACAAGUAAGAGACCCUUUGAAUGUAAGGUAUGUGGGAAGUCCUUCAAGCGCGAAUCCACCCUCAUUCAACAUGGGGCUGUUCAUGCUGGUGUGAAAUCAUAUGAGUGCAGCGAGUGUGGGAAAGCCUUUAUUCACCGGUCAAGCCUGUUUCACCAUCGGAAAAUUCAUUCUGAUGAGAAACCUUUUAAGUGUCAGGAGUGUGGAAAGGCUUUCGUUGUUCUGGCAUACCUCACUCGGCACCAGAGCAUCCAUAAUGGAGAGAAAUCAUUUGAAUGCCAGCAGUGUGGGUCAACCUUCAAAUACAAAUCCCAGCUCAAUAAACAUCAGAGAAGUCAUACUGAUGUGAAACUCUUUCAGUGCAUGGAAGGUGGAAAUGACUUUGUUCCUGGAACAAACCUUAGCAUUCAUCAGGGAAUCCAUAGUGGUGAGAAUCCCUUUCAGUGUAAUGAAUAUGGGGAAGCUUUUAAAUACCAUUACCAAUUUCCUUGGACAUUUUAGAAUUCAUAUUGACAAGAAUCCUUAUGAAUGUAAAAAAUGUGGGAUGUACUUUGUACCUGGUAGAGAUGUUAAACUACAUCAAAGAAUUCACACUGGUGAAAAACUUAGAAUUAGGAAUGUGGAAGACUUUUAGUUGAAUAUGAAACUUGUUUUGAUGUUCUAAAUGUAGUAAGUCUUAAGGAAAAUGGAAAGGCCUACAGUAAUUCUAAGCUAUGUAUAUCAAAGAAUUUCUACUGAUGAGAAAUUCUAGGCAUAUAAAUAAGGUGGCAAAAUGUUUAGAUUUAGUUCAGCCUUCAUGCACAGUGACAAAUUCAUAUUGGUAAUAAACCCUAUCACUGUAAAGAAUUUGCAAAGAGCUUUAAUUGGAGCUUAGGACUUCUCCAAAAUCAAAGAAGCUAUGCAGUCAAAUGUAAUGAAUGCAAGGUAUGUGGGGACAUUCAUAGAAUUUGCUGUUAAAGCUCAUCAGAGAGUCCAUAUAGGUCUGAAACUCUGUGAAUGUGAAGUGUCAGGAAAAGUCUUUAUUGUAAGUGAUGAGCUUAUACAACAGGAGAAAACACAUCAUCUCCAGGAGGCCCAUGCAUGUAAGGAAGAAGGACAACCCAGUGUAUGAAAAUGUUACGGGACACCAGAGAACUCAUAUUGGGAAGACUGUAACAUAAAAGAAUAUGGGAACUUUAAUCUGCCCUGGGAUAUGGUCGACAUCAAAAUAUUCAUGUACUGUUGAUGCCAAGAAACCCUUUGAAAUGAGAAUGUGGAAAGUUGGUUGUUCAGAGAAGAUACUCUGUUGAAAAUAUCUUUUACUGUCAGAAAUACAAUGUAGUAAUCAUGUUCUUGAUUUAUUGUCAUCUUGUUAGUUGUAGAAACUUCAUUCAUUAGUCACCAAGGGCUGUCAACUUCGGGAGAACAGUUAUUGCAACUAGGUUUGUCUGAGAUGCUUUCGUUGUCACCAUGGCCCCUGUGAUAUUAGAUUAGAUAUUUACUCUUUGCAUAACUUUUUAAUGGCCAGCACAGUACCAACCAAAGUCAUGGCAACAGAUUUAUAAUAGAUAAUAAAAUCCUUGUCAGUAUUUGGUCAAUGCCUAUGUUUUAUAAUAUAGCUUUUACAUAGUUCUAGUUUCAUGAACAUUAGUGUAAUUGACAUGAAAGCCUAAUUCUACUUCAGAUCACUUAGGAAAGCCUCAUGCUUUCACCCACUCUUAGAUUUUAAAUACCUUUAUUACAUGUAGCAGAUGUAUUUGAAUUUGAUGUAUCUGAACAUGAAAGUAUUUGAAUUGUGAUUCCAUUUCUUUUGUAUUUGUGUGGUAAAGUUUUAAAACACAGUCAUUGGUAAUAAGUACUUUCUAAAGGGGUAAAAACCAUAAAAAAUUCAAGAGUUAAAAUCCUAUUAUUUAUGCCCUUUCAACACAUGAAGAUAAACUAUACAUUUGUGACAAGACAAAGUUCUUGGGUCCUCCAUCUCUUAUUCUUGCUGAGGACAUUGUAGCUUCAACUAGAAUUUGAUUCCCUUGAUAAAGAAUCUCAUGGAAUUGCCUCUGAUAAUUUAUCAUGGCUCUGUUUAAACCUCCUCCUCCAACUAUCUGCUUAUCUUGGCAUCUGUUAAACUGCCUGCUUGGGCAAAAGCUCCCUGCAGCUGCUGAGCAAGAUAAUAGAAUGUGGGUUUUGUUCUAAAUGCUUGGGGUUAUACUUGGGUCCCAAAUACCUGAAUGCACUCAGAGAUGGCUGGAAUAAAGACUUUCAUUUGGCUCUAAA